AUUGAACGCUGGCGGCAAGCCUAACACAUGCAAGUCGAACGAGUGGCGGACGGGUGAGUAAUGUAUGAGAAAAUGCCUGAUGGAGGGGGAUAACUACUGGAAAACGUAGCUAAUACUGCAUAACACCGGUUGUGCCCAGGUGGGAUUAGCUAGUAGGUGGGGGAAAGGCUCAGCUAGGCGACGAUCCCUAGCCGGUCUGAGAGGAUGACCAGCCACACUGGAACUGAGACACGGUCCAGCCUCCUACGGGAGGCAGCAGUGGGGAAUAUUGCACAAUGGGCGCAAGCCUGAUGCAGCCAUGCCGCGUGUAUGAAGAAGGCCUUCGGGUUGUAAAGUACUUUCAGCGGGGAAGCGUUACCCGCAGAAGAAGCACCGGCGAACUCCGUGCCAGCAGCCGCGGUAAUUC
rnacentral:rRNA from 1 species